rnacentral:rRNA from 1 species
GACGAACGCUGGCGGCGCGCUUAACACAUGCAAGUGGUGCGACGAACCAGGCUUCGGCCUGGGGCGAAGCCGCGAACGGGUGAGUAACACGUGGGCAAUCUGCCCCUUUGAUCGGGACAACCCGGGGAAACCCGGGCUAAUACCGAAUGAGGUGGCGACUCAUGAGAGUCGUCACGAAAGGAAGCUUCGGCCUCCGCGAAGGGAUGAGCCCGCGGCCCAUUAGCUUGUUGGUGGGGUAAUGGCCGACCAAGGCAACGAUGGGUAGCUGGUCUGAGAGGACGAUCAGCCACACUGGGACGGAGACACGGCCCAGACUCCUAGGGGAGGCUGCAGUGGGGAAUCUUGCGCAAUGGGCGACAGCUUGACGCAGCAACGCCGCGUGAGGGAAGAAGGCUUUCGGGUCGUAAACCUCUUUCAGUUAGGACGAAGCUUUAUUGGUUAAUAACCAAUUGGAGUGACGGUACUUUCAGAAGAAGCCCCGGCUAACUACGUGCCAGCCGCCGCGGUAA